UACGGGGGGGGCAAGCGUUGUUCGGAAUUACUGGGCGUAAAGGGCUCGUAGGCGGCCAACUAAGUCAGACGUGAAAUCCCCAGGCUCAACCUGGGAACUGCGUCUGAUACUGGUUGGCUUGAAUCCGGGAGAGGGAUGCAGAAUUCCAGGUGUAGCGGUGAAAUGCGUAGAUAUCUGGAGGAAUACCGGUGGCGAAAGCGGCGCGCUGGACCUCUUCUGACGCUGAGGCGCGAAAGCCAGGGGAGCAAACGGG
rnacentral:rRNA from 1 species